GGUCAAAGGGCGAGCAAGAAUAAAUAAUCAAUCUGGAGGGAAUAAAUUAAGGCCUUUCUCGGGUUAUUCAUGGACGGCCUUCAUCUCUCCCAAGUACUCCUUAGGCCAAUUAAUCUCCUUCGUUUAAUUUACGCCUCCCAGCAUCUAAUAGCAACGAAGGUCGUUUCUUUUGAACCAGCCUGAAAAUCGCCAGCUUUUUGCUGCUACUCACAAGUCAGUGGGCAAUUUGGUACAGCUGCUUACAGCUCCACUUCUCUAGGGACGAAUAGGUAUAAUUCAUCCUAUCCUGCGCAUGCAGAGAUGUGUGAGCAGAUGGUGACCUAUAAAGCAAGGAUAAUGUGGGGUCCUACAGGUGGUGUUGGACUACAAAUCCCAUCAUUCCUGAUUGUCGCCCCUGCUGCCUCCGGCUUGUGGGAGCUGUAGUCCCAAACAUCCCCUUCCAUAAGGCAUUCCGGAGCCCUUCCAGCCAACCUGCAGCCAGGCAUACUACUACAUCAUCCGUUUAUUUGUAUGCCGCUCUUCCACAAAAUUGUACCUGAAGUCAGUGGCGAAGCUGCAUGCUCCGGCACCGGGGGGCGGAGAGCAGGUGGGGGCGUGGCUGGCGUGCAUCCUGGGGGCAUGGUGUGCCGUCCUGUGGGGCAUGGCGUGUGUCCUGGGGGCAUGGCAUGUCACCAGCGGGGGCAUGGCAUGAGUCCUGGGGGCGUGGCGCACCACCCGCACCUCCUGCUCUAGAGGGUAGGACUCGAACCAAUGGCUUCAAGUUACAAGAAAGGAGAUUCCAACUAAACAUACGGGGGGGGGGGGAGAGACUUUCUGACAGUAAGAGCUGUUCGGCCGUGGAACGGUCUCCCUCUGGAGGUGGUGGACUUUCCGAGAGCCAGUGUGGUGUAGUGGUUAAGAGUGGUAGUCUCGUAAUCUGGUGAAGUGGGUUCGCAUCUCCACUUCUCCACAUGCAGCUGCAGGGUGACCUUGGCCUAGUCACACUUUUCUGAAGUCUCUCAGCCUCACUCACCUCACAAAGUGUUUGUUGUGGGAGAAGAAGGGAAAGGAGAAUGUUAGCCGCUUUGAGACUCCUUCGGGUAGUGAUAAAGCGGGAUAUCAAAUCCAAACUCCUCUUCUUCUUCUUCUUCUUCUUCUUCUUCUUCUUCUUCUUCUUCUUCCUUGGAAGUUUUCAAGUAAAGGUUGGAUGGCCAUCUGUCAUGGAUGCUUUAGCUGAGAUUCCUGCAUUGCAGGGGGUUGGACUAGAUGAACCUUGGGUCCCUUCCAGCUCUAAGAUUCUAUGAUUUUUAAACCACUCUGGGAACUGUAGCUUUGGGAAGGGAAUAGGAAACCUUCUAAAAACCCUCAGUAACCUUAACAAAACUACAAGUCCCAGAAUUUUGCAAGCGAAGCAAUGAUGUUUAAAGUGGUAUCAUAGUGCCUUCAUUGUGUGGUAUGGGUGUGGUCUGAAUGUACCUCACAGCUCCCCCCCCCCCAUCAUUGGCUGGAGUUACACCCCAUUUCCCAGUAGGUAAGGCAACUGAAGGAAACAGCAGAGAGUGGGUUUGGCCCUACAUGCCUAAUUUUAGCUUGUUUAGCACUUGAGAGAGGAUUAGCUAGGCUGUGGUUAGCUGAGCUUAUUUUCCUCUGCAUUACAUGUGAAUUGUUCAUGCUUUUAUAGCCUUUAAGGAAAAUCUUAGAAUGACUUGGGGGAUGGCGGGUAUUAAGCAUCAAAGGGUAAUCCAACCACAUUUAUAAUUUCUCUGAACAUCUCUGCAGAGGAAUAAAUAUGAUUUCUGGAUACCUUAUCAUUUCUUCAUAGGUAAUUUGGCCGCACCAAAUAUAAAAUAAAAUAAAAUAUUAAUUAUCCACAUUUUCUCUUCUUCUGCCACAGGGUUUAAUGAUAUGCACCCUGUCGUAGAUCUCUGCUUUGCCUAUGAAAUGCAAUUACCGCUCCCUCCUGCUUUCAAAGUGAAGGCAGAUGUUAUAUGAAAAUUUACAGCUGCAAUCAGCACUCGACAGGUUAUGAACCUAAAUCAAGGCAGCAGCAAUAGUUGGGGGGGGGGGGGCGCUGGAUCCUGUAUCUGGUGUCUGGUUGCAGUUUAGGAACCAGAAGCCCCAGUACAAGCCGUUGGCUAGGAUAAAAGGACAAACAAGGAGGCAGAGUCAAUUUGCUGUCAGCUCCCCCUGAAGUCAGAUUUCCCUUUCUUUGAUGGAGGGGCCACCCUCAGAAGCAUUUCUGUCUGAUGAGCCUAUGGGGUCAGCAUCCCUCUGGCCUGAUGGUGUGGCAUUGCUGUCCCUGGACUCCAUCUGCCUGUAGAACAUCCCCUGCUCAGUUCGAGUAGGAGAUGACCGGAGCAGGUUGGGUGUCUUUUACUGAAGAAUCACCUUCCAGUGCAGGUGGAGCUAAAAGCUAGGAUGCUGCUGUCACUGUAGGGCUCAGACUUGUCUUGUUUGUGGCCGAAGCAACAGCAGAGGUCUCUGUGGCCGGAGUAAUAGUGAGCCCAAACCAAUGAACCACCAGGGAUACAGCAACACAGCAGAGACCAAGAAGACCUUGUUGCUUAAGCAAGACUGGAGGAGGAAGCCCUCUUCUAUUCAUCCCUGUUUAGGAAGUUCUGGUGAGCAGAGUCAUUUCAGGGCUGAAAGGUACUUCAAUGAGCAGUACUUUGGGCUCAGACCCCCCCCCCAACACCUUUAGGACCACCUCCCCACAUUUGAACUGACCUGGACUCUGUGAUCAUCAUCUGAGGCUCUUCUCCAUGAGUCCCCACCAUGGGAGAUCUAGAGGGUGGCAACAUAAGAGUGGACCUUUUCUGUGGUAGCUUCCUGUUUGUGGGCUACUGGCCCCAGGGAUGCCCUGCCUGACCCCCAUAUUACUUAUCUUUAGGUGCUAGGCAAAAGCAUUUCUUUUCUGCAAGACCUUUGUCUUCUCAUUAUCCUUGGCCUGCUUCAGUGGAUGGGCUGUUUUAAUCCUGCCUUUUAGUGUGUGUGUGUGUGUGUGCAUGCGCGCGCGCACACACAAUCUGUCUAUCAUCUAUCUAUCUAUCUAUCUAUCUAUCUAUCUAUCUAUCUAUCUAUGUGCCUGUUUUAAUAUAUGGAUUACUUAUUUACUGUUGUUACUGUUAUAUGCUGAUAUGCAUAUAUCUAUAUAUCUAUAUAUAUAUAUAUAGAUAUAUAGAUAUAUAGAUAUUACACGCCUCUGACCGGCAAGUCCUAGGCUCUGUGGUUUAACCCACAGCGCCACCCGCGUGCCAAUAUCUAGAGGUGUGAGGCCAAAACAUUUGUCACAGGGAGACUGCUUAAUGUAUCUCUGUAUGAUUGCUUGCUCUCUGUUCUCAUCAGCUUUGACUGUGUGGGGUUUGGUAGCAUUUGCACAUGCUCACAUUAGGUUUGAGAGGAUCAGUUGCUACAGGUACAAAACAUAACUAGCUGUGCUUGGGAGCAGCACACCCACGAUAAGAAACUCACAAAGAGACACAUAAGGUGCACUCUUCUGACAUAAGUCAGUCUUCAUUGUGCAUAGCCAAGGGCCUUACAAUAUCUAAAAUGUAGACAUACCUACACGGUACACAAAUUAAAAGAAAACUCAAUAUGGAAAAUUACAGAACAAUCACUAAUAGCUAUGUAUUCUACCCUCCAAGGGCAACAAAAUGUUGAAUUAAGAUUUAGAACGCAUUGCAAUUCUUAAUAUAACUAGAGCACAGCUUCUUAGCUGCCAGUGAAAAUUUAGCUGCCAAAUAUGUAAUGUGCAAUGGUUUAUCAGAAAGAAGUUCAAUUAGCACUUCCUGAGGUGAUUGGUCCGCCUACAACUGAAGGGAACAGAGGGCAAUGUUUUUCCACUGGGGUCCAAAUGGGAAGAACAGCAAAUAGUGCAUAGUAUCGCCAAUCUGAUUACAAUCAAAUAUACAAUUCCAUUCUGAGACCGAGAUUCCAAGAUGUCUCCCAUCUAUAUAUGCUGAGAGCAUGUUCUGGAACCUAAGUAAUAUAAAAGCCCUGUCUGAAAGUGAUGGCGCUUUGAAUGAUUUGUCUUGAUUUGGGGGUACCAGAUGGAAAAGCAAGCAACAACUAUUUCAAGGUCAAGUGAUUCUCUGGCUGAGGUUCCUUUUAAACAUGACAGCAGCUGCUGUUUUAUGAGUUUAUUUCCAUGUUUGGCAGGAGUGUCCAAGGACUCCUGCUCCCAUCAGCACUAGCCAGCAUGGCCAAUGGACAAGAAUGAUGGGAGCUGUGGUCCAUCAUCACCAGAAAGGCAAGGGUCUCUAAUCACUGCUUUAGUGGCUCAUAAUAUGGAUGGAGGCAACCGCGCGCAUCUUUAACAUCAAAUCAUCCCAACCCUGAUCUGGCUGCCGUGUUUUCACAUUGAGUGAGCCCCAAUCUCUGAACAGUGAGAAACUCCAGCACUUUCCCAGCAUUUAGUUUCCUUGAAACGAAGGUCAGUUGAGACUGUGAUAUCUUUAGGACAUGUUGUUUUACUAGCUGGGAGUGCCUGGUGGUUGCUGCUCGGGUAUUUUGAGAUGUUUAAAUGGAUAGUGCAAUUUGUGAAUUUGGACCUGCCAUGCCAAAAAUGGGAGGAGUUGCACACAAGUCACAAUUUGGUCUGCCACCUUGAUUCAAAAUGGCGUCCGGCAUCCAAACUUCAACAAUCUUGGGAGCCUUUGUGCCAAUUUUGGCAAUGAUAUCUGCUUACCUGUAAUUUCUAUAAAGGUGGUCGAAUUGGAUUGGUGACCCCCAUUCUCUCAAGAUUUCUAAGUGCGAUUUUUGAAUGUAUCUGGUCUACCUUUUGGCAGAGUCAAACAAAUGAUUAACAGAGAUGGUUGCUAGAUUUCUCCUUCUGGCUGUAGAAACACAAAAGGAAAUCUCCCCCAAUUAAACUCAUCCCAUCCAGUUGCUAUUCUCAUAUACUACACUUUUUAAUCUGGUUAUAUCAUUUAUUGGCUCACUCCUAGCUGCCAUAUUUUAAGGUAUCGUGUUGGACGUCAUAUUUAUACAUGUUUUAGAUACUCCUGCUAUUUUAUACCAUUUAUAUGACAACCCACUUUAAUGUAUUUUUAUGCUUUGAUAUUUUACUUGUACAGUUGUUGGUUUUAGUUUGUUUGGGUCUACAGUGGUAUAAUAAAGAAUUUGUAUCUUACUAUAUGGGCUUUUCCUAGAUUUUUAUGGAUUUAUUUCCAUCUUUUAGUUUGGAGUGUGUGUGGGGGGGUUUAAGGGAAAAAACCCUAAACAUGGAGUUCAUUAAAUGCUUAAUAUGCAUUCCACCCCCCAAAAAGCUAAUGAAGUAUCAGCUUAAGCGCACAUUUUAUGACCCACCAAUAAACAUGGGGCAACUGAUUAGCCUCUGGCUCACUUGUCUGAAAGAUAAAUUGAACUACGAUUGAAAGAAAGUUAAUACAAUUUAACUGCUAAUAUUGCAAAUGUCACUUUAAUUCAGUUACGGAGCAAUUAGAGUGACCACUUCUGUGCCUGCAUUCAAGAGUUAUAGCAAUUACAACCACGUGCAAUUAUCAGCCUCAUUUAACCAAGAUGCUUAAAUCUAAUUGAUGCAUGAAAGGAUUAAGACCAUAGAGUAAGCUAUCCUGCCAGGCAUAGCUCACCUUGGAAGGCACUAAGUAAUCAAACCAUUGUUCCUCUUCAGUCUACCUGGUGAACUCAGCAUGUGAAGAAGCUAAGCUGGUUGCUUCAGCUUAGCCGCAUGGCUUUCACAAGCCAUUCUUGAGUUCCUGUUGCAAGGCAUUUAACGGAUCCCUCUUCUGCCUUGAAGUUGGGCACUGUGACAUCAUUGAGCAACCCCACAUUGUACCUUCCGCCUUCUCUAAUGUAAAGCUUUAAUGAGCAAACAGCCAUAGAUGGUGGCAGCAGUGGUGCAGUUAGAUAAACUUAGAUUGUAAUGCAUAUUACUGUACUUCAGAGUAUGGUAAACACGAACUCCUUCUUAGAUGGAUGAAUAGGAAGCUAUCCCUCACAUUCUAGUCCAGUACAUUUUGAAGGUAUGAGACUUUUGAGAAAUAAUUCAUCCCCAAUAUACUUUCAGGUUCUCCCCCACCCAAGACACAAUGAAAACAGAAGGAAAUGCUGAUGAGCUGAGGAUUUUCACCAUGUGCUGAAGAGGCAAGCCAUUUGCUGCUUUAAACUUUUCAGCAGCACACACAACUCCAAAUUCAUAGAAACCUACAGUUGUGGCAUUGUCAGCCCUCCCACCCUGUGCUCUUAAAGUGCUAUCAAACUGCAGCUGCUGAAGAUAAACACAGAAUAAAAAGUGGCGGCCUUUAAACCAGCACAGCAGUCCUAACAGGAGGUUUCAAAACAUGUUCAACAUGCCCCAAACUCUGAUUGGAGCGUCCUGUGGAUCUUUAACUCAAGCAUUUGCUUUCUCAGUCUGCCUUUUAAAAUAAUCUGACAUGAAGUGGG